rnacentral:rRNA from 1 species
UGGGGAAUCUUGCGCAAUGGGCGAAAGCCUGACGCAGCAACGCCGCGUGCGGGAUGAAGGCCUUCGGGUUGUAAACCGCUUUCAGUGGGGACGCGGUACCCACAGAAGAAGCCCCGGCCAACUACGUGCCAGCAGCCGCGGUAACACGUAGGGGGCAAGCGUUGUCCGGAUUUAUUGGGCGUAAAGAGCUCGUAGGUGGUUCGAUAAGUCGGGUGUGAAACCUCCAGGCUCAACCUGGAGACGCCACCCGAUACUGUCGGACUAGAGUCCAGUAGGGGAGCGUGGAAUUCCUGGUGUAGCGGUGAAAUGCGCAGAUAUCAGGAGGAACACCAGCGGCGAAGGCGGCGCUCUGGGCUGGCACUGACACUGAGGAGCGAAAGCGUGGGGAGCGAACAGGAUUAGAUACCCUGGUAGU